rnacentral:lncRNA from 1 species
AGCCUUCAGUAGCUGGUAGUGGAAGGAGGAGCUCUGACUACACUCUCACGACUGUUUUUUGCCUCUUGGUUCUUGUUAUGUCCCUUUCUUUUUGAAAUAAGACAGAAGGUCCCCACCUUCAUAGACAUAGAGAGAUCCCAUCUUAUUUGUUUUUAAAAAUAAAUUGAAAAGUGAGGCGGAGCCUUGUGAGGAUGAUGGGAGAGGGCUUCCAGAGAGGAAUUUCUUCUUUGGAAUUCCUGAAAUGGGAACAAACUUGUUUUGGGAAAAGGACAGAAAGACACAAAGGUGGCUGCAGCAGAGUGAAAUGAAUAUGAUGGGCUAAGGCCUCGUACACGUAGUGAGCAUUGACAAAGAAUAUGGACUUUAGUUGAGAUGGGAAACCACUGGAGGAUUACAGCCUGGGGAUUACUGUUAAUUCUCCAAGAAGAAGACUGACCAGCGGCUGUGUGAGAAUGUCCUGUAAUGCAGGCAAGGGUGGAAGCAGGGAGACCAGCUAGGAGGCUGGUGGCGAAGUGCAGGUUUGGACGCCCGCUCCAAGCGCUGGUUAAAAAUAAUAUGGAGACGGCACGGGAUUUGGCCUCUAGAAAAUAUAGGUCCCAUUGAAGAUGUGCAGGCGUCUGCACACGGCGGUGUGGAGGAGAAUAUGACAUCAGAUAUUGUAAGAUGUAUUUCUUUCUCUGGAAGAGAAAUGCUUUUUGUUUUUUCUGGGGCUUCUAGAAUAUCAAGUGAGUAUCAUUUUUGACUGCCAUCAUGAUUCAGGCCUCAGUGUCAUGGACUCUAGCGACCGGUCACUGGAGGUUAUGACCAGCUGAGGCCUGAUUGAAAAUGGCAGUCAAAGGACGGCAUCACUUACAAACUGUUUGGUAGUGAGUGUAUUUCUCAGUAGCAACCUUUUCUCCUUGAAAAAUAAUUUUGUAUUUGCCAGCCAACAUAGACUUGCUAAAUAUUCCAAAAAACCCACUGCAUGUUCCACAAGCAUCCUCUAUGCUUUAUUUGGGGGCCAGUGACUUGAUCACUGUUUCACAUCCGGUUUUUUAUUUCACCAAGUGAAUAAAGGCCUUUGCCAACAGAACCCAGCAUGAUCUGAUCCUCAUGGUGUUUUUUUUUUCUCUUAUUGCAGAGAAAGUCGAAAGCCCAGCGUCAAGUCUGUACAUAUACUUUUUUUUUUAAACAGCUUUAUUUAGACAUAGUUGACAUGCAAAACAACUCACCCAUUUAAAGUACGUGAUUCAGCGUUUUUACUAUAUUUACACGGUUGUGCAACCAUUGUUACAAUCUCAUCUUAGAACCUCUUUAUUCCCCCCUCAAAGAAACCCCACUAGUAGUCACUCCUGUUUUUCCCAUCUCCCAUGCCCCUGGAUCUAGGCAGCCACAAAUGUACUUCCUGUUUCUAUAGUACAGUGCUUUUCUGUAUUAACCGGUUCUUAAGGUGACUAUUUCGCAUUGAUGAAGUUGCUCUAGCUAGAAAGCCAAGGCUCUUUCAUUUCCUUCUGCCCUUCUCCUUUGCCAUCCUUCAACACCAAGGAGAAUGGUCCAGCAACAGCUCGGUCCAAGCUUGUCAACCGCCCACCUCCACACACUCCAGCCCCGGUCCACAUCCCCCAAGGCUCCUUGUGGGAUUCCUCAGCAGCACCAAUGCACUGACUGUCACUAUGUUCUCCUAGAUUUGGUCGAAGAUCUCAGUGAAUACCCAUCUGUCCAUCUUGAAGACCUCAUGACACCGGAGAUGGCAAAGGAGAGACGCGAAGAUUACCUCUGCUGGGUUAACAUGGCACAAUCUCGGCUCAAUGAACCCAUCAGCUCCCAGGUUUGAGGACUUCUCCGGCUUCCGCAUCCCGAGUAGCUGGGAUUACGGACGCCUGCCACCACACCCAGCUCAAAUCAUUUUAUGAAUGCAUAUUUCCAUCUGGGUGAAAAAAAAAUCACAAGCCUCUCUCUCUUCCUACUGAGCACCUGUGAACAGUGACCUGCAGUUUGUGGCUGCAGCCAGUCCUCAUGGAGCCUGCUGUUCUUACAUUUCAUUCUGAGGCUCACAUUCUCAGUCACCAUGCAGAAGAACACCCGCCCCAUCCUGGGUCAUUACAGAGUGGGCCAAUCCAUCUGCUGCAUCUGAGGAGCUGGGUCCAGCUUCUACGGUGAAUCCAUAUAUUUCUGUAUUUCCUGGAUAAGGAAGAGGAAAGGAGCUGAGCUGGUGGAGGAAGAAGAUCUAAUAUUAACUGACUCCUUAUUUUGUACCAGUGGAUAUGACGUCAGAUAUUGACACAGCCAACAAUCGACUCAUCAUUUCUGAAGACCUGUGGAGUGUCCAUUGUGG